rnacentral:lncRNA from 1 species
UUAGACGUCAUUUGUUUGUCGUCUGAAUAAGUGAAUUUAAGGGUUCAAAAUGGAGGUAUAAAUCAAAGAUUUAUGGUUGUUUCAGACGACAUUAAUAUGUUGUUGGAUGAAGUACAUAAAAAGAGGAUUAAAAGUAGAUUUCGCAUUCUUUCACAGACAACUUUUAUAUGUUGUCCAACGUAUUACCAUAAAGUUGCUAAAUGUUGCUUUUUUACACUGCAUAUAUAUGCCGUCUGAAAUUUUGCAUAUCACAGACAAAUUGAACAACAUCCAGAAGUAUGAAGGGAGCAUGGCACUCAUACGACUUAUACUUCACAAAUGUCAUCUGAAGGGUAGAAAAAUUAAUCAGACGACAUAAACUCAAAAUCAUCCAAAAUAUGUCGUCUGAAAAGUGUCGUCUGAUGAUGUAUAUGGCCUAGUGCUACCUCCUCCUAAUCACCGAUUGACAUGCAUCCACCGCCUUCUCAAGAUUGAAAUCCAAACCCUAAAUCCCCAAAUUCAAUUUCCGACCGAAUCUCUCCCUCUCUGGCGAACUCGUGCUCCGUGAAGGUAAACCUAUCACUUCUCUCUCGUUUUCACUCCUCCUUGAGCUUUGAUUUCCCUAAAUAAAGCCCUAUUCUGAUUUUCUUUUCUUUUGUAUUUCUGGGUUUUGGUCAAAGUUUUCCCGCGACCUCAUCGACUGCUAGGGAGUCCUAUCAUGUUUUAAUGGAGCCGAAGUACGUUUAAGUGGCGUUGUGGAAGUAGCGGGUGGUUCUGGGUUGAGGCAGUGGCUUUCUAGCAAGGCUAGGAUCCAUGUUCUUAUGUUGAUUCUCCGAUUUGGUCUUGGUUAAGCAAGGAGGAGGUUCAGACUUUGUCUUGAUUCUCGACCUCUCUUGUUGUUGUGGAAUUACUAUGUUGGUUGUUAUGUGUUGAGUUGUUGUUGAAUUGUUGGUCUUGUGUACUAGGAGUUUAGGACUCCUUUAUUCCAUGAUUGCCUCAACAAUCAGUGAGUUAUUCUUGUUUUUAUGUAUCAACUUGUUUCUGGUAUGCCUUCCUAAUUCUCACAUGUAUAAUUGUGAUGUUUCAACAUUAGCCUCUGAGUUAUAAAAUUCAUAUUAUAAUCGUAUGCAAGCUUUUCAUGUUAGGAUCGAUUAAUUUUGCUCUGCGCUGCAUUUGUUGCAGAUGAGAGCCUUGGAAGUAAAGUUUAGAUUUCUGAUUUUUGUCUUGACUACAGUGCUUGUACAAGUGAAUUUUAAUUGCUUUUGCUCUUAACUACAUUUCAUUUUAGGUUAAUGGUCCUAAAUAACUGCUUUUGUGUUAGAGGUUAUUCAUAUAUAGUUAUUUACAGCUCUGAAAUGUGAUGCUUGUAGUUGCAAAGCAAGUUCCAAGACUGUCAUGGAAACUAUAAUAAUAUAGAUUAUAAAUUUAAGUGCUAUGAGGACAGAUGCAGGUGCUUUCAAUUGCUAUCAUAAGGAGCAUCCUACUCAAACUAAACACUAUUGACUUGAUAGAUUUGUUGUAGGUCGCUAACUUGUCAUGUUUUUUACUUUCUUAAUACAAAAUGAAACAGUGAUAUUUAUGGUUUUAGGUUUUAGCUAGCCAUAGAUCACUUUCUUUUCUGUCUAGUCUUUGAUGUCAAGUUACACUGCAUAUUGACGUUGAUGCAUGCAUCUUAAUUGUUAAAAAUUUCGCUUUUCCGUUUAAAUUGAUAUAAGUUAUGUUAAGCUGAUAUGUGAUUGUUUCAACUGUGUGGAGGGUGUACCAUGGCACAGCAGAACCCAAGAUAUAUGAACUGAAACUACUGUAAAAUGCUCAUGGAUGCAUUUGAAGGUGAAAGGGAGUUGAGGAAGAGCAUUGUGGAACAUAUAAAUAUGAUCAAGAUACUACGCUCUUUUUUUUGGGGUCAUAAUAGAAGUGCUAGGUUUAGAGUUUAAACUUUUGCAACUGAGGGAUACAAUGUAUUUUGAUGGAUAUUGAUGCAAUGAAAAGUCUGGUGAUUCAUUAGGUAAUAGUCUCAAGAACAACUCUUCAGAAUGCCUACUUCUAUAUGAGCAAGUGUGUCAUGAAACUAGUACAUGGUGCACAUUAAACUGGGACUUUGAGUAAACUUGCAUAUAAGAGCAGUAAUACUCUAAAAACCAACCCUCUCAAAUGUGUUCUUUUCAUAUGGAAGAUGGUGACUUAUGCAUGCCGAAGUCUACUUGUACAUGAGAAACGCUAAGAUAAUUAGUAGACAAAUGUCAUUUGUCAACGUAAAGUUAGACUUGGUUCAUGAGACGCUAAGACAAUUAGUAGACAAUUGUCAACAAAAAAGUAGACCUUUACACAUAAAUAAGCAGACUAGGCUUUGUAAACAAAUAGAUCUCUCAAGAAUUUUUCAAGUGUCUGUGAAUUCUUGACACUUUAGAGUUGGUCUACACGUAGUAUGAGUUAAAGAUUCAAAAACCUUGUACACCAUGUUCACAAAACAGGUAGGUUAGUCUUCGUAAACAGGUAGACCAUUUUAUCUCACAAAAAAAGUAGACCCUUACUCGUAAAUAAGCAGACCAGGCUUCGUAAACACGUAGACCUCUCAAGAAUUCUUCAAGUGUACAUCUGUGAAUUCUGGACACUUAAGAAUUGGUCUACGCGUAGUAUAAGUCAAUGAUUCGAAAACUUUGUACACCAUGUUCACAAAACAGGUAGAUUAGUCUUCGUAAACAGGUAGACCAUUUUGUCUCAUAAAAAAUUAGACCCUUACACGUAAAUAAGCAGACCAGGUUUCGUAAACAGGUAGACCUCUUAAGAAUUCUUCAAGUGUCUAUGAAUUUUGCACACUUUAGAGUUGGUCUACUCGUAGUGAGAGUCAGUGAUUAGAAAACCUAGUACACCAUGUUCAUAAAUCAGGUAGGUUGUUGUUCGUAAACCGGUAGACCAUUUUGUCUUACAAAAAAAGUAGAGCCUUACUCAUAAAUAAGUAGACCGGGCUUCGUACACAGGUAGACCUCUCAAGAAUUCUUCAAGUGUCUAUGAAUUAUGCACACUUUAGAGUUGGUCUACUCGUAGUGAGAGUCAAUGAUUAGAAAACCUAGUACACCUUGUUCAAAAAACAGGUAGGUUGUUCGUAAACCGGUAGACCAUUUUGUCUCACAAAAAAAGUAGAGCCUUACUCGUAAAUAAGCAAACCAGGCUUCGUAAACAGGUAGACCUCACAAGAAUUCUUCAAGUGUCUAUGAAUUCUCCACAGUUUAGAGUUGGUCUACUCGUUGUGAGUGUCAAUGAUUAGAAAACCAGGUACACCAUGUUCACAAAACAGGUAAGUUGUUGUUCGUAAACAGGUAGACCAUUUUGUCUCACAAAAAAAGUAGAGCUUUACUCGUAAAGACGCAAACCAGGCUUCGUAAAAAGGUAGACCUCUCAAGAAUUCUUCAACUAUCUGUGAGUUCUACACACUUUAGAGUUGGUCUACUCGUAACUCGUAGUGAGAGUCAGUGAUUAGAAAACCUAGUGCACCAUGUUCACAAAACAGGUAGGUUGUUGUUCGUAAACCGGUAGACCAUUUUGUCUCCCAAAAAAAGUAGACCCUUACUCGUAAAUAAGCAGACCAGGCUUCGUAAACACGUAGACCUCUCAAGAAAUCUUCAGGUGCCUGUGAAUUCUGGAUGCUUUAGAGUUCGUCUACGCAUAGUAUAAGUCAAUGAUUCGAAAACCUUGUACACCAUGUUCACAAAACAGGUAGGUUAGUCUUCGUAAACAGGUAGACCAUUUUGUCUUACUAAAAAAGUAGAUACUUACUCGUAAAUAAGCAAACC